UACGUAGGUGGCAAGCGUUGUCCGGAUUUAUUGGGUUUAAAGGGUGCGUAGGCGGCCCUGUAAGUCAGUGCUGAAAUAUCCCGGCUUAACCGGGAGGGUGGCAUUGAUACUGCAGGGCUUGAGUACAGAUGAAGUAGGCGGAAUUGACGGUGUAGCGGUGAAAUGCAUAGAUAUUGGGAGGAACACCAGUGGCGAAGGCGGCUCACUGGACCGGUACUGACGCUGAUGCGCGAAAGCGUGGGGAGCAAACGGG
rnacentral:rRNA from 1 species